AAUGUAAAGGAGAAGAUAAAGUGAUUCAGCCACCAGGAGAUGUCAUUGCUGCUGAAGGAGACACAGUUACACUGGAAUGUACUUUUGACACCAGUUCCAUGAUAACCCAACUUAAUUUGUUCUGGUACAAACAGGAAGUAAAUGGCUUUCCAAAGUACAUUUUAAGACGUGGCGCUUAUGGAGAUGAUAAUGCGCCAGAGUUCUAUAAAGACAGAUUUGAUGCUAAACUCAACAAGACAUCAGUUCCUCUGAAGAUCCAGAAGCUUCAGCUGUCAGACUCUGCUGUGUACUACUGUGCUCUG